GACUCUCUGGCGUAAUGGUAGCGCAUCACGCUUCUAUUCAAGCGCCGCCGACAUCCCUCUGUGGCAAUGGGACGCCACCCACAGUUGAGUUAUGGACGGUCCGCUUGAACCGUGAAGGCUAUGAGUUCGAGUCUCAUGGGAGUUA